CAGCCGCCACGGUAAUACGAAGGGGGCUAGCGUUGUUCGGAAUUACUGGGCGUAAAGGGCGCGUAGGCGGCCAUUCAAGUUAGAUGUGAGAGCCCUGGGCUCAACCUAGGAAUUGCAUUUGAUACUGUUUGGCUUGAGUUCGGGAGAGGUGAGUGGAAUUCCCAGUGUAGAGGUGAAAUUCGUAGAUAUUGGGAAGAACACCAGUGGCGAAGGCGGCUCACUGGACCGACACUGACGCUGAGGCGCGAAAGCGUGGGGAGCAAACAGGAUUAGAUACCCGCGUAGUCCCUGUCUCUUAUAC
rnacentral:rRNA from 1 species